AAACCUCUUUUCUUUAUAAAUUACCCAGUCUCCGGGCUGUGCAGAAACACUAGAGACUCACACCAAAGGACACACGCAGGAGUGUCUGCAGCAGCCCUACUCACAAGGGCUUCGAACUGAAAAUGAACCAAGCAUCCCCCACAGGGGACUGGGUUUCCACCGAGCUGUGGCAUGUGUCACUCAAUGGAACGCUCCAGGCCGAGGAUAACCCACCCAGACAACCACAGGCAAGGGCAGGGAGUCAAGGACACCAGGCACAAAGAGCAUCUAAGGUUGGCCCCACGUGGAGCCAGCUCAGGGCCGGGGAGGGCACCCUCACCCCCAGAGGUCUGGGGUGCUGCCCUGGGGAAGGGGCUGGAAGGGGCUGGAUCUGGGUGUCCCUGCGGAGUCACCCCAUGAAAAAUCACCAAGUGUACACUGUGGCUCUGGCUCAGGCAUGUUUCUGUGUGUGUUACACUUCAAUCACAUGAAGAAAACUGAAGGAGAGAAAAAUAAGAGAGAACAUCUGGGCCA
rnacentral:lncRNA from 1 species